UGAGACUCAACACUCCCAACAUUCAUACAACUUUCUAUCCUUCUUUCUUAUCAUGCCUCUGCAAUCUUCCUUCUCCUCCUUUUCCACCCAUUCUUCUUCUUCUUCUUCCUUCGGCUAUGCAUGGGAGUAUGAUGUGUUUAUUAGUUUCAGAGGCGAAGAUACUCGCUAUGGUUUCACUGGCAACCUCUACAAAGCUCUUUUUGAUAAAGGAGUCCACACCUUCAUUGAUGAUGAGGAGCUUCAAAGAGGACACGAAAUCACACCCUCACUUCUCACCACAAUUGAAGAGUCCAGGAUUGCCAUCAUUGUCCUCUCUGCUAACUAUGCUUCUUCUUCUUUUUGCUUAGACGAGCUUGUCCACAUCCUUCACUGCAUCAAGGGAAAUGAUCGCCUGGUUUUACCGGUUUUCUAUGAGGUUGAUCCUUCUGAUGUGCGCCAUCAAAGAAAUAGUUUUGGAGAGGCAAUAGCUAAGCAUGAGAAGAGAUACAAAUAUGACAUGAGCAACAAGGUGGACAAAUGGAAGCAGGCUCUGCAUCAAGUUGCUAAUUUGUCAGGAUAUCAUUUCAAACACGGGGAUGGAUAUGAACACAAGUUUAUUGCAAAUAUCGUGGAAGAAAUUUCAAGAAAGAUUAAUCGUGUACCUUUGCCCGUUGCUGAUUACCCUGUUGGACUAAAGUCUCGAGUGUCAAAUAUAAUUUCACUUCUGGAAAUGGAUUCUAGUGAUCGAGUUCACAUGGUAGGGAUACAUGGAAUUGGUGGCAUAGGAAAAACGACACUUGCAAUUGCUGUCUAUAACUUGAUAGCUGACAACUUUGAAAGUGUGUGCUUUCUUGAAAAUGUGAGGGAAAAUUCAAGUAAAUAUGGGUUGGUACAUCUUCAAAAUAACCUUCUUUGUAAGAUACUAGGGAAGGAGGGAGUCCAGAUACAAGGUGUUAAAGAAGGAACCUUACAAAUACAACAAAGACUUUGUCGAAAGAAAGUUCUUUUGAUUCUAGAUGAUGUUGAUGAUAAAAAGCAGUUAGAAUCUAUUGCUGGAAAACCGGAUUGGUUUGGUGGUGGUAGCAGGGUGAUUAUUACAACACGAGAUACACAUUUGCUAAAACUCCAUAAUGUUGAAAAGACAUUUGAGGUAGCUGCUUUGAGUAAGGAACAUUCUCUUGAAUUGCUUGUUAAAAAAGCUUUCAAAAAUGAUGAAGUCAACUCAAGUUAUUAUGCGAAUGUUUUAAAUUGUGCAAUAACUUAUGCCUCUGGACAUCCGUUGGCUUUGGAAAUAAUAGGUUCCAAUUUGUUUGGAAAAGAAGUAGAACAUUGGGAAUCUGCAUUACAUCAGUAUGAAAAAAUUCCUAACAGGGAGAUCCAACAAAUACUUAAAAUAAGUUAUGAUGCUUUGGAGGAAUAUGAGAAGAAUAUUUUUCUUGAUAUCACUUGUUGCUUUAAAGGACACAACUUGAAAGAAAUUAGUGAUAUACUUCAUGCUCAUUAUGGAGAUCACAUGACCUAUCAUAUUGAUCGGUUGGUUGAUAAAUCACUCAUAAAGAUUAAGUUUGGGGAUCAAGUGACAUUUCAUGAUUUGAUAGAGGAUAUGGGCAAAGAAAUUGUUCGACAAGAAUCACCAAAUAUGCCAGGAAACCGUAGCAGGUUAUGGUCUCAUGAAGAUAUAGUUCAAGUUUUACAAGAAAAACAAGGGACUAGCACCGUUGAGAUUAUAUAUCUGGAAUUUCCUUCCUCAAAAAUGGAGGAAAAUGGUGAUCCAUCGAAAAAGAAGAAAAAUAAAGUUGUACAAGUGGAAUGGGAUGGACUAGCGUUUAAGGAUAUGGUAAAUCUGAAGACACUUAUCAUAAAAAAUGGUUCUUUUUCCAAAGGUCCCAAAUAUCUUCCAAACAAUUUAAGAGUAUUGGAUUGGAGGAGGUCUCCAUUGAAGGGUUUUCCAGAUGAUUUUCAACCAAAGCACCUCUGCAUGCUCAAGUUACCCGACUAUCUUUUUAAGUCAUGCAAUUUGCCUAAGCACUCUAGUGGUCAUCCAAAGAAGCUCUCUAUACUCAAGUUACCCUAUUAUCUCUUUAAGAAGUCAUACAAGUUGGAUAGCUUAUUCAAGAACUUGGCCUCCUUGAAUGUUUUGAAUUUUGACAACAGUGAAUAUUUGAAAGAGAUACCUGAUGUGUCCGGUCUUCUAACUUUACAAAAAUUAUCAUUCAGUGGUUGUAAGAAUUUGAUUAGAGUUCACAAUUCAGUUGGUAUCCUCAAUAAUCUUAAAGUCUUGAAAGCUGAAGAUUGCCAGAGUCUUAGGACUUUUCCAUCUAUCAAUUUGCCCUCACUUGAAAUACUUAUGUUGUCUGGUUGCAAUAGACUUGAGAAAUUCCCAGAAAUACUAGGAAAGAUGGAAAAGGUAGAAAUGCUUCGUUUGUGUGGCACUAACAUAAAACAUUUGCCAUCGUCAUUUCAAAACCUUUGUGAGUUGUCCCAUUUGAUUCUGAUUGCCAAUACCUUUCAUAGGAUACCAAGUGUGAUUCUGGAUAUGCCAAAACUGUUUACAUUAUUAUAUAUUAAUGUAAACAUAAACAACCAUGAGACUUGGGCAUCACGCAACAAGUUGGAAGAGGGGGUUGAAGGAACACUCAGCUCUUCAAAUGUGAGUAAUCUUACUGUCAAUAACUAUAUGCUGUCAGAUAACUUUUUUCCACUGGCACUUGCAUGGUUUCGCAAUGUGAAAACAUUAGACCUGAGUCGCAACAGGUUCACAAUCCUUCCCGAAUGCAUCCAAGAUUUUCGCUUUCUAAGCUCCCUCAAAGUUGAUUUUUGCACGAAGCUAGUUAAGAUUGCAGGAAUUCCACCAAAUUUGAAACAAUUCUCGGCAGUAGGCUGCAGCAACUUGACUGAGGAGGAGGUCAAAAGCGUGUUACUCAAUCAGGAACUGCACGAGAAUGGAAGAACCGAGUUCGCAUUGCCAGGAACAACGAUUCCAGCAUGGUUUGAAGAGCAGGGAAAGGGAGAUUCUAUUUCAUUCUGGUUUCGUGGCGAGUUCCCUUCGAAUGCACUUUGCUUUGCAAUUCUACAGCGGAAUAGGCGCAAUGGUGGAACUUAUAUAACUCGUAUAACAACCAUGGUGAGCAUCAAUGGCAAGCAAGUUUCCCGUGGAGGUGGGAGAACCCAAAUGCAGGACCUAUUUAUUUUUGAUCUGUCCGUGACAAAUAAAACGUAUCAUUUGGAUGGAAUAUGCUUUGAAAAUAAAUGGAAUCAUGCGAAUGUUUCAUUUGAAUUUCAAUAUGGCGGCGAAAUGGAGUUUGGAAUGCAUAUAUUGAAGCAAGAGAGUAGUAGCAUCAUGAAAGAUAUUCAAUUCACUAAUUGUAACAGUCCAGACCACCUACCAGCACGAUAUUGUCCACUUUGGCACAGUAACAGCCCGGACCACAAAAGGAAAAGGCCGCACAAAGCCCUCCACACUCACUCAUCAAAAUGCACACAUCAUGUUUAGAAGAGGACCUUACACUAAUCAUUUCAUAAAGAAUGAAGACGAUGAAGCUCUCCAUGGUAUUGACAGCAUUGACGUUCGUCGAAGGAAACAAUGGAAGACCGAAUGAAAGAAGAAGAUGCAUGCUUCAAGACUAUCGAACUAAUGAUGGCAAGAAAACAUAACAAAAGAAAAGUAUGCUGUGGCUAAGAUCAACAUCAUUUAUGGUAAGAUUCUGUGAUGAGAUCUUGGCUUCAUCGUACCAAAAAUAGUUGAUGAAGAUUCGGCCAGCAAGGAAGAUCUUUGGGGGAUGGCUUGUCUCUGAUUCUGCUCAACCACCACAGGAAGUAGCAAGAGUGGCGAAGUGAUGGAGGAGGCAGAGAUUGGAGCAGAUGAAGCCAUCAUCAUCAUGAAGCAUCAAGGGCCAGAAAUUCAUCUUGGAGAGCAAGCCAAGGAUGGAGCGCUCGGAUUGAUGAAGAAUGAUGACCAAGGAAGAACUAAAGGUAUUUGCAUGUUGGGUUUUGCAUGAGUUACCUCUUCUCUCUCUAUGGCCGAACCGGUUCUGUUUUGAAGGAAAAGAAGCUAAGCUUGGUUUUGUGUUUCAACUGUGAAGGCUUCACUUCUCUAUAAAAGGGGUGAACAGUCACGGUUUGAGUCAAGGAAAGAAAGUGAGAGUGCAAGGCAUAGAAGUCUCAUAGCUACCUAAGCUUACAGAUUUUCUUCUCCUUCAAUGUAUUCUGUUUUGUAAUUUUUCUGUUUAAUUUUGUCAUGUUUUGAGUCUUAUGGAAAAAGGCAAACAAGUGAGGUUUGUAUGAAAAAGUCAUAGAGCGGAAAAAGACAGAGAGUGCAAAAUUAAAAGAAAAAGUCAUAGAUGUCUUAGAGUUCUUUUGUUCAUCCAGGUUGUGUUUCAUGAUUCUGUGGGAAUCCCCUUGUAAGUUGGGUUAGCACUUUACAGUUUGUAAUCUGGAAGAUUAUAGUGAAAUUCCAUCAUGUUUGUGAUGUAGACUGGAUGUAGGCUGCACUGCACUUAGCGGCUGAACCAGGA